AUGAACUGUAGGAAGAAGGUUGUUUAAUGAGAUUGAGGCGAGGCUCUUUGCUGUAUAUAUAACAUAGUUGUUGACAAUUUUUCUUUGUUUAUUAUCAUAAUUUCUGUUCAGAUUCGUAGUUUACAGGUCUGCAUCCACACGAGCUUGGUCACCACUUGCUAGAUUUUAUCGUUUACUCCAUGACGAUGAUGAGCUUCUUUGAUUAAUAAAUGACUCGGCCUUGCUGCAACCAGUUGACAAUAUUGCUUAUGCCAUUGGAAAUACUAAAUCUUCUUCUCUGACAGAAAGACAAUGCAGUCGAAACGUAAAGGACCUGGAUAGUAGUUAUCAACUUAUCAUGGUUGACUUACAAAAUUUUUGAUGUAAUGAUGCCAUAUUCUCCUAAACUUUAAGGUGUCAAAGGAAGUCUUCUAUCAUACAUUAUUCAAAACUGAACCCUCGACAACCGGUAAAAAGAGUAAAAGUUAGACCAUUAGACCAAGAGGUCAUCGGAAACUUUCAGGAAAUUACCUAUUUUUUUGGAAUAAUUAUUAAUCUUUUGGAUUGUUAUUGAAGACUACUUGAAUGUCAAAGUGUACCAGAUUCUUUUAAUUCAUGCUUAAGCAAAUCAAUUAUAAAAUGCUUACAUGCUCAGCUACUAUCACAGAAUAUAAGGGGGUGUUUGGUUGGGGGUUUAUGGGGGUAAAAAGGAAAGGGCUUCCUAUUCCAUAACAUUGUGUUUGGAUUAAAUUUUUAAGAGAGGGGAAUGGGAACCCUUAUACCUCUAGCCUGUUAACACAAACCUGACCUCUACCCCGGGUUACCAAAAUAGAAUCCCAGUCUAUAUUCUCAGUCAAUACAUCUCCUUCAUCGCCGUUUAUUCAUUUCUCUCUAUCGUUUCUUUGCUGUAUGCCGACCCCCCCCCCCCCCCCCCCCCCCUCUCUCCGCCUCUCCUCUCCAUCUCUCCCUCUCUCCCAAUCUCUCUUUACACUCCGUCUCUACAUCAGAUUGCUCGAUAGUCAAAGCUGAUUCCAAGUAUGAAUACUGGAAGAGGGCAGAACAAGAGGAAUUGGAGUGAUGAGGAGGAUCGUGCACUCAUUGAAACUCUUCAAGAAGUGGUUGUUGAUAUAAAUUGGAAGAGUGAGAAGGGAUGGAGGGAUGGUUACUUAUGAAUUGAGUACUUGUUUUUUUUAUUGAUUUUGUAUGUAUGGCUUGUAUUUAAUAUGACUUGUGGCUAGUAGUUAAUGUUCUUGUAUUUGAAACUUUCAGAGUCAUAAGGAUGCUAGAGGUAUGUGGGGUGUUUCAUUUCCGCAUUUUCAUGCACUUGCCGAGUUGAUGGGGAAUGAUCGAACAACGGGUAGUAAUGCUGAAAAUUUUGCAGAAGCAAUAGAGAAUAUGGGGAAUGAAACAAAUGACUCAAUGUUUAGCGCUUCUACAGAAGAAGCAAAUCAAGAUUUGGUUUCCAAACCUGGUAAAAGGAAGCGAUCAAAGGACAACCCUGAAAAAAAUUUGAUUUCCAUGUUUGAUGAUGUAUCUAGCAAAUUAGGCUCAUUUAUGGAGAAUAUCGAUAAGCAUCUUGGCAAGCUAGUUGCGAGCGAGAGUGAUGACAUGGCUGCUAAAGUGAUGGAGGCUUUGAGACAGAUGGAAGGAUUGUCCAGUGGCCAAAUGCUACAAGCUGCUGAAAUACUUAUGGCCGAGCCUCCUAAAUUAAAGGUUUUUCACCAUGCCGAUGCAGAGUUGAAGAAAGAAUAUAUUUAUCGUCUUUUAUUAGCUAAAAAUAAGUGAUUAAUAUUUCUUGAUUUUAUCUAUUGUUGAUUCUGCAACCUGUUUACGAGACAGUAACAUGCAACAACAUGAAAUUGUUUGUUUUGCUACUAGCCAGAUUUAUCAGACCUUGUUGUUAUAAUGUGAUGGAACUUUUUUAUU